UACGUAGGUGGCAAGCGUUAUCCGGAAUUACUGGGUGUAAAGGGCGCGCAGGCGGCCCUGCAAGUCGGAUGUGAAAGAUCAAGGCUCAACCUUGACAGGCCAUUCGAAACUGUGGGACUUGAGUGUCAGAGGGGAAAGUGGAAUUCCUAGUGGAGCGGUAAAAUGCGCAGAUAUUAGGAGGAACACCGGUGGCGAAGGCGACUUUCUGGCUGGCAACUGACGCUGAGGCGCGAAAGCGUGGGGAGCAAACAGGAUUAGAUACCCGGGUA
rnacentral:rRNA from 1 species